rnacentral:rRNA from 1 species
UACGUAGGGGGCUAGCGUUGUCCGGAAUCAUUGGGCGUAAAGAGCGUGUAGGCGGUCCGGUAAGUCCGCUGUGAAAGUCGGGGGCUCAACCCUCGAAUGCCGGUGGAUACUGUCGGGCUAGAGUGCGGAAGAGGCGAGUGGAAUUCCUGGUGUAGCGGUGAAAUGCGCAGAUAUCAGGAGGAACACCAAUAGCGAGGGCAGCUCGCUGGGACGUUACUGACGCUGAGGCGCGACAGCGUGGGGAGCAAACAGG